rnacentral:misc_RNA from 1 species
GCCGCUGGCAGCCAUCAGCAAUUACAUGAAGGGCUCACGCCGCCUGUUGACCUCGAGUGAAGACCCGAAUGCUGUCAAAAUCGCCACAGCCAUGGAUCGCGCAGCGGAACAAGCUCUUCGUGCGGGACAGAUUAUACGGCGUCUUCGCGAUUUCGUGAAGCGCGGAGAAUCCGAAAGGCGCGUCGAAAGCCUUUCGAAGCUGAUUGAAGAAGCCGGCGCGCUUGGCCUAACGGGCGCCAGGGAACAGGGUAUCUUGUUGCGCUUCAAUCUGAACCCC